UUCUCCUUUCAAUUCUAUCCAUCUUUGCCUCACAAAUUUUGACGCUCUGUUGUUAGGUUCAUCCACAUUAAAGACUGUUAUCGCUUCUUGGGGAAUCGACCCAUCAUUAUGUAAUGCCCCUCUUUAUCCCUGAUCAUUUUCUUUGUCUUGGCUCUACAGCUGGAAGGCCGGCGCUCAUCGCUGCAGACUCGUUCGUGAAGGGGACGCGCAGUUCCUGUUUGUGUGAGGUUGCUUUAGAUGACCUGCUGUUAUCUGCAGAGGAACAGCCAGGAACGGGUCAUAAAAUGUCGCAAAUCACUGUCAGAAUUCUGGGCCUUAGCCGGGUCCACAUCCUCUCCCGCAGUGGCUUUUCGCCUUGGUGAACGGUCUACGGGCUGAAACUGUUCGCGUUUCCUCCAAGCUCCUCACGUUGUGCAGUUUGGCCACAGAGUCGAAGCUCUUUUCACCCUGGGUGGGCAACUUGCAAGUGACUUUGUCCUUGUCAAAGCCUCGCCUCGCGCUUCAGCGCCUCCUGGAGCUCUGGCGGACUCGGCGUCCCGAGUCCCAGGAGCUGGGGCUCCAAGCUGGGACAGGGGCGCGAGGCUGGAGGGCGACUGACAACUCGGUCCCCCGGCGGUUCUGCCGCUCGCGCCCAUCGCGGCCGUUAAGGAUGUUGAUUCGUUACCAAACGACCAUCUAGAAAGCCAGCCAUGAUUUAAACUUCCAUCAGAGAUCAUUCAAUUACCGUGGGAGGAUUGGAUCUUACUUUGGAUUGCUCAAUUAUGUCUAUGCAAAGGGCAGGUGGAUCUUGGUGAAUAACGGUGAAUUAUCAACUUACUCGGAUGGUCACUCCAACUUAGCUGCUCUUCAAGAUGUCAUUUCUGUGUUGGAGCAAAGCAACACAUUCUUUGGCGCCUGAUUCUCUUGGGUGCAAGUGACAGAAACUCAUCUCAAGCUAACUGGUUGAAAAGCACUCCCUGGCCUGUGCUACUUGAAUCUUCGAUAUUAGCUGGAAGAGGGGGUCUUGGAGAAGAGAUCAGGAGAAGAUGAUGGGAGGCCAAUACUGGGUCUGGGAGGCGGAGCAAGCCCUGCUGGAGGCCAUCAUUGCUAAUUCAGCAGGGUGCAAGCCGCCAGCCACAGGGACACACUCCUCUUCCCACCUCUGCGUCCAUGACCUGGUCCAGUCUGCCAUCACCACUCGUCUGGAAUGUGGCACUGUUUCCUGGCAUCCAUCUGCUUCUGCCCUUGUCCCCCUAAACGCUUAUCAACACAGGGAUCCUGAGAAAACAUGGCAUCAGCCAAUGUCAGUUCUCUGUGAAAACUCCCCAAUGUCUCCCAUUCCUCUCAGAUUAAAAGUCUUUUAUAGAGGA